rnacentral:rRNA from 1 species
GCAAGUCGAACGCGCAGCGAGAGGUGCUUGCACCUUUCAAGCGAGUGGCGAACGGGUGAGUAACACGUGGAUAACCUGCCUCAAGGCUGGGGAUAACAUUUGGAAACAGAUGCUAAUACCGAAUAAAACUUAGUAUCGCAUGAUAUCAAGUUAAAAGGCGCUACGGCGUCACCUAAAGAUGGAUCCGCGGUGCAUUAGUUAGUUGGUGGGGUAAAGGCUUACCAAGACAAUGAUGCAUAGCCGAGUUGAGAGACUGAUC